rnacentral:tRNA from 1 species
ACACCGAUGGUGAAGUGGUUAUCAUGCUUGCCUUCCAAGCAAGCGCACGGGUUCGAUUCCCGUUCGGUGUA